rnacentral:rRNA from 1 species
CCUACGGGUGGCAGCAGUAGGGAAUAUUGCUCAAUGGGGGAAACCCUGAAGCAGCCACGCCGCGUGGAGGAUGAAGGUUUUCGGAUUGUAAACUCCUUUUGUUAGAGAGGAUAAUGACGGUAUCUAACGAAUAAGCACCGGCUAACUCCGUGCCAGCAGCCGCGGUACUACGGAGGGUGCCAGCGUUACUCGGAAUCACUGGGCGUAAAGCGCGCGUAGGCGGGAUAGCAAGUCAGAUGUGAAAUCCUAUGGCUUAACCAUAGAACUGCAUUUGAAACUGUUAUUCUAGAGUAUGGGAGAGGGAGGUGGAAUGCGUGGUGUAGCGGUAAAAUGCGUAGAGAUUAAGAGGAAUACCGAUUGCGAAGGCGACCUGCUAGAACAUAACUGACGCUGAUGCGCGAAAGCGUGGGGAGCAAACAGGAUUAGAUACCCUAGUAGUC